ACCACGGUGACCUCCUCCCUCCGCUCCUUCCUCCCAAACCCUAACUCCCACUCCCCCGAUUCAGAUCGAAUCGAUGGCGACGCCGCACUCCUUCCACAGCCGCCUUCCUUCCGCGCCGCCACUCCGCUCUCGAUCCAGAUCCCCCUUGCAGCCGCACCUCUCCCUCUUCGCCACCCAUCUCUCCCCUCGUCGCCGCCUCCCUCUCCACCCACCUCUCCCCUCGCCGCCGGUCUGCCACAUCCGACAACGUCGAGGCCAGUGGGCGCUGGAUCCGGCACCGGCCUGGCCCCUCCAUCAGCAACUCGAACAGGGGGCGGAGGCGCCAUGGCUUCCCCCAACCCCAUGGCGUGGGCCUGAGCCACCCGCUGGCCUCGGCUGGGUCCCGGACAAGCAGCCGCGCGGGAUGAUGCUGAUGGUGCUGCGUCCGCGGCCCCCGACCAUCCCGCCGGCGCUGUGGCCCGCGGAGGCGGCCACCCGCGAGGUGUUGUUGUGACACACCCAACGGAGGAGGCGGAGCGGCGCUGGCACAGGGUCCAGAUCGAGGCGGGGUCCUUCUUCCUGCGUUUGCUUCUGUUCGGACGCCAUGGCAGUGCUAGAGACGCCACAGCGCAGCUGCUCCCACGUCAAGGGAGUAGCUCGUGCGCUGGGGCAUGUGUAUGUCGUCGCCGUGGGCAUGCUCCCGCUGCUGCUGGAUUUGGGGGGGUUGGGGAGAGAGCAGAGAGGGAGAGGCCACCUUCGCCGCGCUCACGGGCCUCGUCUUCAAGGAAGUCUGGCUUGAUGGACGACGGGACAAAAACGAGCCUCUUAGGACUGUGGAGGAACAACAGUUGCAUCCCGGUCACUUGUUCUUGCUAGCAUCCUGCAAAAAUGUUGGGUGCUUUCAUUGCUUGGACUUGCUAAGCAAUCUUAUGCGGGGCACAAUACCGGUGUCGUUCGGAAGCCGAACUCACCUGCGGCAAAAUGGCAGCAGCGCCAUGAAGCAGCUCUAUUUCUUGUUCUCUACUCUGCUUUGAACUGAACUUAUUUCAGUUAGCAACUGUAUACUAAAUUUGAGAGUAUGGGUGCUUGCUUGUGAAUUGUGAUGUUGUUCCCAUCACAUUAGAUUAGGUUAAUUACAUCCACAAGUAUAGUAGCUUCUGUCCAAGUGCUCUUCAUCUUGUGUGUCACCUGCAAGGCAAUCAAGUUAAUUAGAUGUUGUGCUUUUCAUGUUCUGCUUCAUACAUACAUGCAUAUGUGAUUAACCUAAAGGAAAUACUAUCUAUGCACUAAAUCUGAAAAGGAAAUGUGAACUAUCGAUUUGUGUCAUGCAUUCCAGUUUUAACUUCUUUCACGACCUCUGCCUCCCUCCUCUGCUUGAUUUUGUAUAUUUCCUCUCAAGAACUCGUGAUAUAAUCUUUCCUAAUAUUAAUCCCUCCGGUAUAACAUUUAUAAUCCAGUAGAAAAUUAGGCUAUAGUCAGUAAACUGUAUGAUCAUUUCUUGGUUUGACUAAAAUUAUAGUGACAAUCAGGUAGCCGUAGUUUUAGUUGACUGUUGUUGUGUUUGUAUUGAUGACUCUAAGUGGCACUAUUUUGAAUUAUUUUGAGAACUUAUAACAUGAUCUUGGACCCCUAAUGGAUGAUCGAUUCAUAAUUCUUUUAUAUGCUGCAUGAUGUGUGUGUUCCUUUUUUCUUGUAUUAUUAUUCUGAGAACUUUCUGAGAACUGUCUGAUUCUCCGAAGCACUAAUAUGUAUUGCCAUCUUUUAUAUUUGACAGUAAUCAGUGCGAAAGGUUGAUCUUCAAACAGGAAAAGUACCAAGCAACCAUUGCCUCAUGCUUCUAUUUGUAGAUUUCCAAAUUAUUGCUAGAACCUUUACCUGCUAGUCAAAAUUGGUGUAGCAAAUUUUCAUUAGCACUAGUAAACGGUGGCAUCACAUCUCUGAUAUUAUGCUGCUGCUGAUGUGCUAUUUAUAGCUACAGUUUGACACUACUAAUUAGGCUUGCUGGACAUGUAUGUCUUCUUGCACAGAUAAAACAUCAUAGUGUUAGUCAAGUAUUUGUAUAGAUAUGUCUUCUUGCACCACAUGACUUGGUCCUGGAUAGAAGAAUAUGGUGCUGGUUGCACCUUUAUCCGAUAAUCUGACCUAGUGUAAUUUUUCCAGUAACUGAUCUUGUGUACCCAAGUCUAGUAUGUAUCUUUUAUGUUUGCUGGCUUUUUAUGUUUGCUGAAGCGUACUAUGCUUGCUAAGACCAGGUUUCUGUUCUUUUUGGUAUUACUUGAUCUUUUUUGACAAUCUAACUAGACGAUUGUUUCCAGCCUUUGAACUCCUAGGAGAUUUUAACACAAAUUGUAACAGAUGCUGCCCUGCUAAAUGAGGAUGAGGGGCACACCUAGCCGUCGGCCCUGCUCUGCUCGAGGAGGAGGGGCAUGAGAGGCCUUCUCCUCUGCCCCUAGUGCGACCAAGAGGUCCUGCCCGAGAUCAAGCACGGCCAUGACGACCCACCACGGGAGCUACAUCUCUGGGUACAAGAACCAGUUCCAGAACUUCAUCAAGCACCUGCGCGAAAUGGGUGAUGAAGUAGUACAUUUUUCUACUGUCAUUGGUUGAGUACUACAUAAUACUGAUGCUGGUGGGUUUGACACAACUACAGGACAGUGGAUUAGUGAUACGUCUCCGUCGUAUCUACUUUUCCAAACACUUUUGCCCUUGUUUUGGACUCUAACUUGCAUGAUUUGAAUGGAACUAACCCGGACUGACGCUGUUUUCAGCAGAAUUGCCAUGGUGUUAUCUUUGUGCAGAAACAAAAGUUCUCGGAAUGACCUGAAAC